rnacentral:rRNA from 1 species
AUUGAACGCUGGCGGCAGGCCUAACACAUGCAAGUCGAACGAGUGGCGGACGGGUGAGUAAUUUCUGGGAAACUGCCUGAUGGAGGGGGAUAACUACUGGAAACGGUAGCUAAUACCGCAUACCAUCGGAUGUGCCCAGAUGGGCUUAGCUAGUAGGUGGGGUAAAGGCGCACCUAGGCGACGAUCACUAGCUGGUCUGAGAGGAUGACCAGCCACACUGGAACUGAGACACGGUCCAGACUCCUACGGGAGGCAGCAGUGGGGAAUAUUGCACAAUGGACGAAAGCCUGAUGCAGCCAUGCCGCGUGUAUGAAGAAGGCUUUCGGGUUGUAAAGUACUUUCAGCGGGGAGGCGUUACCCGCAGAAGAAGCAACGGCUAACUCCGUGCCAGCAGCCGCGGUAAUUC